GACGAACGCUGGCGGCGUGCUUAACACAUGCAAGUCGAACGGUGAAAGCGGAGCUUGCUCCGCUGGAUCAGUGGCGAACGGGUGAGUAACACGUGGGCAACCUGCCCCUCACUUCGGGAUAACUCCGGAAAACCGGGGCUAAUACCGGAUGCGACCUCCUUGGGCAUCCUGGGAGGUGGAAAGUUUUUCGGUGAGGGAUGGGCCCGCGGCCUAUCAGCUUGUUGGUGAGGUAGUGGCUCACCAAGGCGACGACGGGUAGCCGGCCGGAGAGGGCGACCGGCCACACUGGGACGGAGACACGGCCCAGACUCCUACGGGAGGCAGCAGUGGGGAAUAUUGCGCAAUGGGCGAAAGCCUGACGCAGCAACGCCGCGUGCGGGAUGAAGGCCUUCGGGUUGUAAACCGCUUUCAGCAGGGAAGAAGCCGCAAGGUGACGGUACCUGCAGAAGAAGCACCGGCUAACUACGUGCCAGCCGCCGCAGUAA
rnacentral:rRNA from 1 species